CCUACGGGAGGCAGCAGUGAGGAAUAUUGGUCAAUGGACGAGAGUCUGAACCAGCCAAGUAGCGUGAAGGAUGACUGCCCUAUGGGUUGUAAACUUCUUUUAUAUGGGAAUAAAAUGUUCCACGUGUGGGAUUUUGUAUGUACCAUAUAGAUAAGGAUCGGCUAACUCCGUGCCAGCAGCCGCGGUAAUACGGAGGAUCCGGGCGUUAUCCGGAUUUUUUGGGUUUAAAGGGAGCGUAGGUGGAUUGUUAAGUCAGUUGUGAAAGUUUGCGGCUCAACCGUAAAAUUGCAGUUGAAACUGGCAGUCUUGAGUACAGUAGAGGUGGGCGGAAUUCGUGGUGUAGCGGUGAAAUGCUUAGAUAUCACGAAGAACUCCGAUUGCGAAGGCAGCUCACUGGACUGCAACUGACACUGAGGCUCGAAAGUGUGGGUAUCAAACAGGAUUAGAUACCCUUGUAGUC
rnacentral:rRNA from 1 species